rnacentral:rRNA from 1 species
UACGUAGGGGGCAAGCGUUGUCCGGAUUUAUUGGGCGUAAAGAGCGUGUAGGCGGCCAUACAGGUCAGCUGUGAAAACUCGAGGCUCAACCUCGAGACGUCGGUUGAAACCGUAUGGCUAGAGUCCGGAAGAGGAGAGUGGAAUUCCCGGUGUAGCGGUGAAAUGCGCAGAUAUCAGGAAGAACACCCGUGGCGAAAGCGGCUCUCUGGAACGGUACUGACGCUGAGACGCGAAAGCGUGGGGAGCGAACAGG